UACAGAGGUCCCAAGCGUUGUUCGGAUUCACUGGGCGUAAAGGGUGCGUAGGCGGUCGGGUAAGUCUGACGUGAAAUCUCCAAGCUCAACUUGGAAAUGGCGUCGGAUACUAUUCGGCUCGAGGAAUGGAGGGGAGACUGGAAUUCUCGGUGUAGCAGUGAAAUGCGUAGAUAUCGAGAGGAACACCAGUGGCGAAGGCGGCUCACUGGUCUGGUACUGACGCUGAGGUGCGAAAGCGUGGGGAGCAAACAGG
rnacentral:rRNA from 1 species